UCAGUAGUAUAUACUAAAAAUACUUAAAUUGGAAUGACACAGAGAAUAUUAACAUGGGCCCUGCUCAAGAAUGGAAUGCAAUUUUGUGAAGCAUUCCAUAUUUUG